rnacentral:rRNA from 1 species
GACGAACGCUGGCGGCGUGCUUAACACAUGCAAGUCGAACGGACAGGCCCCUUCGGGGGUACUCGAGUGGCGAACGGGUGAGUAACACGUGAGUAACCUGCCCUUGACUUCGGGAUAACUUCAGGUAACUGAGGCCAAUACCGGAUAGGAAUCCUUGCUGCAUGGUGAGGGUUCGAAAGCUUCGGCUGUUUUGGAUGGACUCGCGGCGUAUCGGCUUGUCGAGGGGGUAGUGGCUUCCCAAGGCUUGUACGGGUAGCCGGCCUGAGAGGGCGACCGGCCACAUUGGGACUGAGAGACGGCACAGACACCUACGGGAGGCAGAAGGGGGGAAUAUUGAACAAGGGGCGGAGGCCUGAUGCAGCAGCGCCGCGGGCGGGAUGACGGCCUUCGGGUGGUAAACCGCUUUCAGCAGGGGCGAAGCUUGUGGUGACGGUACCUGCAGAAGAAGCACCGGCUAACUACGUG